AAAUGUUUUUGGCAUCAGCUCCUUGAACUCCAAAGUCAGACAAUUUUAUAACAGUAGAACCAGUAGCAAUAAUCAAACUUUGAUACUUAAAAAUUUUCCCAGAAGCACUCCUGAGGGUCUUGGCAGAAAGAUUUGCUUCAAUAAUUUCUGUACUAAGAAUCAACUCGAUCCCUUUUUCCUUGUACCACUCUGGAAGCAGCCUCUCCCCCCCACUUCCUACACAUACAUGGAACCCUGGUAAUCUA
rnacentral:misc_RNA from 1 species